AAUUGGCUCCCCUUUAGGCUUCAAGUCAUUCGUUUGGAAGUGUUGUGAAUUUUUAUUCUGGUAUCAUGCAAUGUAUAUCUCACUAGUAAGCCUAAGUACGACCAGGGCAUGUUCGGGUCAGGUUCGUGUGGUAUUGUUUGGGGCUUGGUCCAGGAAGGUAGACUCGUUGGCGCCAGACACAUCUGGCUUCCAUUAACGACUGCUAAGAUACACAUGAUGUAGAGCUGAGGAGGCAACUGCGGGGUCAUAGGUCAGCCAACAGCCCCAUCUGCGCGCUCCCGCGUGGAGGGAAGCGCAAGAGUAUAAGGUUUAGGACGAGAGUAGACAAAGGGACUCGACAUCUUGGCUAGGGCGCGAGACACUUCUCUCUGACAUCGGUUGAAUAAAAUCUUUCCCCAAUCAGCCAUGUGUGACUGAAGUUUUCCUUCCCCAAGCCAGCCACUUUUUCACCAUCUUGUUUGGAAGACCAGCUGACCAUCGAAGAGAAUUCACCACAAUUUUGGCGUCACGAACAGUUCUCUUGUCCUUCGGGGAGCCCUCGCCCGCCUGGGUGCGAGCAUCGAGCGUCCGGCCGGCAGGCUGAGUUUGAGGUGAGAAGCUUUCACUCACAGUAUCGCAAUGUGCUCGUGCCUGGUGUGGGGGGGGAUGGAGUGGCUCCUAAGCGGGACAGUUAACGGGCCUGGUGUGCCAGUGGCUGGCAAAAAGGGGGGGGGAUUGGUCUCCCCUAGCUGGAUGUCGACGAGAUGUGGAGUUUGAAAGGGGGGAGUAGCCCCAAUAGAAAAAUGAAAAUGUUCAAUAAAAAUAGAAAAAAGAAAAAAGGCAAAUAAAAAUGGGAAAAUAGCAUAAAACUUAAUGGGGAAUGUGCACAACAGUGUGAGUGACAUGUCUGGUGUGAAUGAUGAAUGAGAAAGAAAAUGCUCCGAGAGAGGGCACGUGAAACAGGACAGGAUGUCUGGGACAUCGCUGAUCGGCUGUCACGAGAGAAGAAUAAUAGAAAGUCCCAUAAAACGUGGACUUUGUUUUGGCUACAGAUCCGAUGGAGGAUGGAAAUUUUAGCUGUGUGAUUGAGGCGGAAACACAGGUACGAUUGAACACUGUGUGCGACAAGAGACGGGCACCACCAAGCCACCGGAGGCAUAAUUCCCGGGGUCGUGCUGGGACGUUGAGAUCACACGCAAUGUAGUUGAGAUCACACUAAUGUGGUUGAGAUGUUCGGUGGGGGCAUUUGUCUCUAUAUAUAGGUCGCACGAAAAAGGGAGGCGUGCUGCAGACCGCAAUUGGCAAAGCGGAGGAAUGGGCAGCCUUGGCAUCCGUAACCGUGUGAACGAAUGUGGGAAAAUUACCGGCUGGGUCUGGGACCAGGGUGCCGAGAAGGAUGAUGCGCGCAGACCACGUUAUUUGAGCACUGAUCAGAUUAGGAGUUUGUGCGGGUUGCAAGGUUCCCCCGGCUGACAGCUGGUGCGUUAGCCGCUUAGAGAGACACUCUUCGGGCAACUUACCGGGGUGAACCGGUGCGCUGCGGUUGUACCCAAGUCGUCACGGUCCGAUUCCGAUUGGCGAGGCGCACUGUAAUAGCACACACUCCUGUCAAAGUCUGAUAAAAUUUACGGCUUGCAGCAGACCGCAAUUGGCAGAGCGGAGGAGUGGGCAGCCGAUAGAAAUUGGAAAACGUGGAAAAAAGAGGCCUCAGGGGGGUUAAUUUUGGUAUACCAUGUAAAAAAGUAAUUUGUGUGCACACUGAAGUUAAAAAUCUGCAGUAUAAGGGGAAAUGCAAAGCGCUCUUAGGGGAAACAAAGACAAGAAGUGCAAAGGGCAUGUUUGUACGUGCACCUGCGCACGGUAAGAAGACACAGAAUGACCAAACCGCAUGGAAGCGGUUAGUGAGAAGCUACAUGAGAGAUGGAUUCGAAUCCCUUUGUCUGUGUUCUAUGUUGUGCGUAAUGUCUGUAAAGUUUCUGUCAGUUGUCGUCGUUCGUCUAAGCGGUGUGCGCGCUUGGUGUAUGGGGUGUGCGUGCGCGCGGAUGGGUGUGUGCAUGUGCGGUUGUGUGCGCGCUCGGUGUGUGUGCGUUUAUGUGCACACGCAUGGGAGACGGCAGUGAGAGAAGAAAGGAGGGGGCCCUGGGUGCUCCAAGGCGCGGAAUGGUGCUCUGUCGGCAAAGGUGGGGGCCGGCGAGACGCGCGGGCCUGGCCAGCCCGUGGAGUCAACAUUGGUACGCUGACCCCCCCCCUUGUCCGAGGGCGCUGUGCCGAGGAGCCCGCAAAGGCGAGGCUGGGUCCCCCCGGUAGAGGUCAAUGUCGAUGAGAACUGAGACAUGACGAGGGGAGAUCGAAUGUGGAUGAGCGAAGGGUGCAUGAUUAACAACGAACGUGCAUGAUUGAAACUGAAACUUCACUGGCACUAAUGUUGAACAGUUUGCAAACAGGCAAGAGAGAGACAUGCUUGCAAUACUCACUAAAAUACUAAUGUUUGUGUACCUGUGUGUCUUAAGAAAGGAGUUGGGCCGUGGCAGCAGUGAUUUGUGGCAGGACGCCACACAUUCGGCCCAGGACCGAUAGGUGGGGGGAGACAGUGAGGAAAGGGGGGUUCGCUCGUAAAUUAAGAGGGAGCCUGUUGAGGGCGGCCAGCGCCCCUAGUCCAUCUGACAACUAAUGAGAAAGUGAGUGAUUACGUUAACUUGAACGAGAUUGCUAUUUCUCCUGUUUGCAUAACAAAUACGAGACGGUGCACGCGCACGUCUCCUCCCAGAGGACAAAGAGACACGGACAGAACUCCCAGGUCGUCUGAGGAAAAGCUUCGUGGAGCGCUGCCCCCAAAUUCUUCACUAAUUUACGUCAGGACGCCACAAAUGCGGCCAGAGACAGAUAGAAAGAGGGAGUGAGAGAAGAAAGGGGGGCUAACUCGUAAAUAAUGAGGAGAUAUUGGGAGUAAUCUAUUGGUCCUUUCUUUAACACCCUUUAAAUCAUUUCCUGGAGGAGAUAAGUUAGCAACACGAGAGACUUAGAGGUUCAACAGAAAGACAGUUAAAAGACAAUAACAUUUUUGAUUUGAACAAUUGCAGGCUAACAGGAGCAUGAGAGAGGAGAGCUGAGAAGCGGGAUCCACUUUGAUCGAGGAGAUUGGAAAUUCACAGCACAUAUUCUAAGUCGCAUUUUUGAGCAAGCAUGACACAGGUAAUAACGCGUGAGAGAUCAAGACAUAGAUCAGGGCUAGUUGUGGGACGCAGACCUCGGAGUUAAUUUUGAAUAAUGAUACUGAAGACACAAUGUACUGUCCCAUUAAAUUGAAACUAUAGACAAAACGUAGCUCGACAAUAGGAUGAGUUGCAGGACUUACAAUAAAAAUACGACAUUGCUGUUACUAGGAGAAUUCGACUUUUGGUAAACAAACGUUACUAGUGAAUGGAGGGCAGCAGCUACAUUUGGAGAUAGUCUUACAAGUUUGAUGUCCCAGUCUGUCUCUCUCAGUGCCAGGAUCCCUGAAAACUCGACCCCGAGACUCCGCCUGCAGCCGCGGACGACUACAAGACGGUGCCUGGCUUUGAGGCACCUUUGACCUUUGGCAAGGACAAAGUAAGACUGUUGUUGUGCUUGGAGGGGGCAAGUACACUCCGGAGGAUAGACAACAUCCUCGGAGACGAGAAAAGACAGUGAGAAGUGGAGGAACUCACAAUGUUGAAGAAAAAAUGGACAUUUGAACAAUGGACUCAUUCGAGAGUGAUGGAUGUGUUGGCUCUGAAGCAACAACAAAAGGACACCAUCUUGAGAGGGUGAGGUGCGGCAGAAGAUAUGGACUUGAAAUGUCCGAUGGCCAAAUCGCACUCCUGGCGGUGCUAAGACCUCGUGGGGCUUGGGUUAGAGUGGACAGGAGCUUCAUUGUGCACUGGGUUUGACAGAACUGAGGAGAUUUGAUAAAAAAUUGAAUAAUGCGUAGAGCUACAGAGAGAAGCAUCAUGGUCAGAGAUUGAACAGAUUUGAAUAAAACAAAUGGGCUGAAACGGUGAGAAACAAGAGCGAGAUCUGAUGUUUUGGCUCACCAGACAUAAGACGUAGAAAUCGAGUUAGAUAAAUUUUAGAAUAAGACAUCUAGACUAAAGUGGAUUCAGCCGAGAGGAAGCUAGGACGCUCGAUGUACCUACUCAAUACGAUAGAAGUUUGUUGCACCAUAGUGGAGGUUGGGUAGUCAGAAAGUUGGAUCCGUUAAAUUUUUGACUUUCACACAUUCAUGCAUAGGAGUCGCACAAGGCCACAGGUAACAAGAUAAUGACUGAGAUAGGGCUCAAAUUCAACUGCACCCACACGGCAAUGUAGAAGCAGGAGAGCGAAGUAAGGGAUUAUGUGCUAAACAGUCCGCUGUAGGGUUACCAAUAGGAGAUUCUGUCAAAAGAACUACUAAGAGGUGGAGGCGAAGAUAAUAGGAGGACAUAGAUAUUCGAAGGUUUAAUAAGGGCAAACUCCAUUGUCAAAGAUCGGAUUAGAGCAAGUAGGAACGGGAGUAUUUUGGCAUUUUAACAGGAAGUGGCAGCAAGGGAGAUUGAGGAUAGAAGAUCUGGACAGCAAUGACGUGAAUUACAUUAAAAACUGCUCAUUCGAGGGAGAGGGCUCGGCGCUCCCUGUGUGGAGCUGCAGCUUUGCAGAAGGGGGGCAGGCCGCGCGAGUGAGGAGUGGUGAUAGGCGACCACAAGGAAGUAGGGAGAGGUGUUGGAUGGUGUGACAGGCAGGAGUUUUAGGAAGAGGAAGAAAAGAAAAAGGGGGGGAGUGAGACUCGCCAAGAGGGGCAAUAAAGAGAAGCAGACUGAGAAACAGUUUUGAGCAAGACAACGGGGAAAAAGGGGGAGAGCCAAACGAUGACGUAAAAAGCCAGAGAGAAUAGUCUGACCCAUCUUUAUUGAAUUUAAUUAACAUAAGUAAUAGAGAUCGAGUUUGUAGGACCAAUACGAGGGUAUGGAGGCUCCCUCAAAACGCGGGUCCCACAGUUAGUCCCUCAGAUAGACAUAUAUGACAAUUUGCGAUGAAUCUGAUGGGCGAGUUUAUGGAAAAUUGAAUUGGAGAUUUUAUAAUAGGUCAUGUUGACGAGUAUGUCCGAAUGUGAAGAGUCACUAUUAGGAGUCAAUAUUUGCCUACACACUAACAUACUAACUUUGCUUGGUUUGGGGGGAGAGCUGAGUGAUAGAGACGGAUGAGUGUGUCUGUGAGUGUGUGGAUGGGUGAGUGCGCAUGGGAUCAUCUACGGCUGUGUGUGCGCAGUAUGAUUGGCCAGAGAGGUCUGAAGUUGGGAUGAUGUGUUUGCCGUUGAGGAUAAAAUUCCUCUCACCUGAAGGGGUGGUACAGAUCGGAGGGACUGGAACUGGUAAGUGAUGAGUUCUGAUCGGAACCAUGGUUCAAUGAUCAAUCAGGGGCACCAUCGACAACCAAACGGUUCGAUGGAGAAGGCCCGUUUCAGUGAUAUGGUCAGACAAGACAGAACUAGUAUUGAACAUCAAGACUUUGGACAAUUUGACGUGUGACGACCUUGAGCUCACCCAACGGGGUGACGGACUAGGUGGACAGUGACCAAAUGUUUGACGCUUGAGCUUGCUUGCGACAUGAGCGAGCUCUGCUUUGGUUUUCUGUGUGACUUGAUUUUUUGCAGCAGCAGCAACGGCCGCCAGCCAAGGAGCGGAUUGCGCGCUGCUUGCGUAACUUGUUUUCGUUCUUGCAGGUUGUCGAUUGCGUUCGUGGAACGUUUGUGUUGAAUUUACAAGAAUAUUUUAACCCUUGCCCUUUUGGUUUUUAUAAUGAACUUGUUGAUUACAUGGUUUUCAGGACAGGAUCCCCGAGCGCCAGGAUUCAUUUUAUGACUGUUUUUGUUUUGAUACUUGAUGUCUGUUUUUGUGUGUACAAGUGUCCGCUGUCAGCAGGGCUACAAGCUCACUGACAGGAGUGCGCUGAUUUUUGUUUGUGUUGCCGAGUGUGUGGUGGACAGUCAAGUUUCAGAGACUUGGGGUGACGGUCCCGGGGCCCAGAUGGAAGCUAGAGGUUCCGUGGGCCUGGCUACAAUGAGUGUGGUGAUGAGAGGGGACGCUUUGCAGGUUCCUUUUGAUACGUAAUGACACAUUGGGUGAAUGUGUCAAAAGGGGGGAGUGGUAAAACAGAAAGGGGCUUUAACAGGACACACCAGAAUUCAACUAGCAGUGACGGAAGGAGCGGAAGAAGCAUCUCGAAAGAAAGGGAGUUAACGGGGGACAACAGCCUGGAAUGGAUGCGAAGCGUGGUAACAAUUUAGUGACAAUAAGGUUUAAGGUUUUUCAAUGACAAAGUACGAAGGACAAAUCAUACAGUGAUUUGGGAAUGGACAGUGGCACAGUACACGACAAAAGUUUGGAAGGUCAUUGAAUGUCAGAGGACGACGGGGCCAGAGACAAGGAAGGGGGAAAUUUCUGAACGCGUGACUGCAUUAAAGCUGCUAUUACAGGGCAAAGGUUUAAUUAUACAUUUUAGGACGAGUAGUUUGCAUAACGAAUACAGAAAGGAUUUGAGUGGCUGUACCGUUUUGAAAAGAUUACGUGAGCGUUGUUUCAGAAUGAUGACUGGUUUGAACAGUGAGGUGGCUCAAACAUAAGGCACAGAUACAUAAAGGUACAGACCUAGGAAACUACAGUAUUGUGAGGGGUACCGGUUUGAGAAUGCUACACAUCUUUAGACUGAAGAAGGAAUUUGGGGGUGACAAAUAGUAUUUGGACGGGAAAAAGAGCGGCUGAAGUGACAUGACUGACGGGACUUCAGAAAGAUGACGGUGUGAUUGAGACAGGGACAUCUGCGACAGGAAAGGCUACCAGGAACAGGUAGAAUUUACAUUGUGACUGGGGGGAGCUAGCAACGCUGUCGGCACGACGAGAAAUGAGGGGAAUGAGUCCUGGAGUGUUUGCUUGUUUGUUUGCUUGUUUGUUUGUUUGUUUGUUUGUUUGUUUCAGGGACCGCGUGGGCCUCUGGAAACGAGGGGUAGGUGUCGGGAGCCCUCGGGCGUUCUGAUGAGAUUUCGAUGAGACGAUUGACACAGCUUUUUCCUCGUUGCCCCAUCACCGCCAAAUAAUUAUUUGAGGGGGCUGGAAACACUGGAGCUAUCGGGUUGUGUUGCCCUGCCAGCGGUGGCCGUCGGGGCCGGAAGGACGUCCGGCCUGGGCUGCGGCUUUUGCCAUUAUGACUUCACAUGUUUGCACUGUUAACGUCACUUGAUACAGACAGUAGCUUUAGCUUGUCAUAGGUCGCCUGGGUGCUGACCGGGGCCUUGCACGGGAUUCAACGGCCAUCAUAAGCAACAGGAGGACACUGAACGGACAGCCGGCCCGGGACGGUGCCGUCUACUACUAGUGCUAUUUUCCACUGACGGAUCAAUGGACUGGAUUUCAUAUCUGCACGUACUUGUGCAUGCAAGGGGGGCAGCGCAACGACGGGUUUAAUGUUCUUGCAUGCUUUGACGAUUUGUUUUUAUAUACCUCACUGUGUUACAUCUGUGUUUUUUGCCAUGAUGUUUACUUUAUUAUGUGACCUCAUUUGCUUGCCCCGUGGCAUGUUUACGAUACGACGUUGCAUGUUGAGCGAUCUGUAUUUGAGGGUCAUGGUUCUGCUUGUUGCUGUGUUUAGGGCUCAUGCUACGCUUUGUGAAAUGUGGUGUGUGCCGGAGCUCCCUUCACCUGACUCUCGCCAGGCGAGAGGCGCCUCCGGGGGUGUAGAAUGGGCCUCCCUCUUUUUCCUCGUCAUUAGAUUGGCGAGGUUUUUUCGACGGCGGUCCGGCAGCUUUUUGGGGCUUCUAACGGGCCACAGCAAACUUUUCCUCUCCAAAUUGAUGGCGUUGGUGAUAUAUUACCGAAGGGGGGUGUGCGGACGGCGUCAAUCAGUUAAUGGGGUUGGGGGAUUCGAUCUUGGUCAAAUGUGGUUCCUGAGAGGCCUCAGAUUGCUGUCAGGGAGAAAUUUGCUAUUAAAUUAGGUUGAGCUUUCCUAGUUAAUGUAACCUUAAGUAGCAUGCCUUGAGCAUGAUUUAGGAUGAGACAAAUAGGUCCAAAUUGUAGACGAAAACCAUAAAAUGGUUGGGGGAAGGUUUUUGGAUGUACCGAUGUCUUUUCGUGUUGAGUUGUUGCCGGGGCACUUGUGGUACCCCGGCAGGGGGGUAUGUUGUGAAUUUUUAUUCUGGUAUCAUGCAAUGUAUAUCUCACUAGUAAGCCUAAGUACGACCAGGGCAUGUUCGGGUCAGGUUCGUGUGGUAUUGUUUGGGGCUUGGUCCAGGAAGGUAGACUCGUUGGCGCCAGACACAUCUGGCUUCCAUUAACGACUGCUAAGAUACACAUGAUGUAGAGCUGAGGAGGCAACUGCGGGGUCAUAGGUCAGCCAACAGCCCCAUCUGCGCGCUCCCGCGUGGAGGGAAGCGCAAGAGUAUAAGGUUUAGGACGAGAGUAGACAAAGGGACUCGACAUCUUGGCUAGGGCGCGAGACACUUCUCUCUGACAUCGGUUGAAUAAAAUCUUUCCCCAAUCA